AGUGAACGCUGGCGGUAGGCCUAACACAUGCAAGUCGAACGGCAGCACAGUAAGAGCUUGCUCUUACGGGUGGCGAGUGGCGGACGGGUGAGGAAUACAUCGGAAUCUACUUUUUCGUGGGGGAUAACGUAGGGAAACUUACGCUAAUACCGCAUACGACCUACGGGUGAAAGCAGGGGAUCUUCGGACCUUGCGCGAUUGAAUGAGCCGAUGUCGGAUUAGCUAGUUGGCGGGGUAAAGGCCCACCAAGGCGACGAUCCGUAGCUGGUCUGAGAGGAUGAUCGGCCACACUGGAACUGAGACACGGUCAAGACUCCUACGGGAGGCAGCAGUGGGGAAUAUUGGACAAUGGGCGCAAGCCUUAUCCAGCCAUACCGCGUGGGUGAAGAAGGCCUUCGGGUUGUAAAGCCCUUUUGUUGGGAAAGAAAAGCAGCAGGUUAAUACCCCGCUGUUCUGACGGUACCCAAAGAAUAAGCACCGGCUAACUUCGUG
rnacentral:rRNA from 1 species